rnacentral:rRNA from 1 species
UGGCGGACGGGUGAGUAACGCGUGGGUAACCUGCCUCAUACAGGGGGAUAACAGUUAGAAGUGACUGCUAAUACCGCAUAAGACCACAGCACCGCAUGGUGCAGGGGUAAAAACUCCGGUGGUAUGAGAUGGACCCGCGUCUGAUUAGGUAGUUGGUGGGGUAACGGCCUACCAAGCCGACGAUCAGUAGCCGACCUGAGAGGGUGACCGGCCACAUUGGGACUGAGACACGGCCCAA